rnacentral:SRP_RNA from 1 species
AGCUUUGCCAGGCAUGGGAGUGAGCAGUGCUCCGGCGGACUUCCGGCACGCUGCC